rnacentral:rRNA from 1 species
GACGAACGCUGGCGGCGUGCUUAACACAUGCAAGUCGAACGAAGUGGCGAACGGGUGAGUAACGCGUAAUCAACCUGCCCUUCAGAGGGGGACAACAGUUGGAAACGACUGCUAAUACCGCAUACUGAAGGAGGGGAUUGCGUCUGAUUAGCUAGUGGGAGGGGUAACGGCCCACCAAGGCGAGGAUCAGUAGCCGGUCUGAGAGGUGGACCGGCCACAUUGGGACGGAGACACGGCCCAGACUCCUACGGGAGGCAGCAGUAGGGAAUUUUGCGCAAUGGGCGCAAGCCUGACGGAGCAACGCCGCGGGGGUGAAGAAGGUUUUCGGAUCGUAAAGCUCUGUUGUAGGGGAGCGGUAUCUUACCAGAAAGCCACGGCUAACUACGUGCCAGCAGCCGCGGUAAUAC